UACGAAGGGGGCUAGCGUUGUCCGGAAUCAUUGGGCGUAAAGAGCGUGUAGGCGGCCCGGUAAGUCCGCUGUGAAAGUCGGGGGCUCAACCCUCGAAUGCCGGUGGAUACUGUCGGGCUAGAGUGCGGAAGAGGCGAGUGGAAGUUCCUGGUGUAGCGGUGAAAUGCGCAGAUAUCAGGAGGAACACCGAUUGCGAAGGCAGCUCGCUGGGACGUAACUGACGCUGAGGAGCGAAAGCGUGGGGAGCGAACAGG
rnacentral:rRNA from 1 species